rnacentral:rRNA from 1 species
CCCUUAGAUGUCCUGGGCCGCACGCGCGCUACACUGACAUGUUCAACAAGCUUCCUAGUUCGACAGGAUUUGGGAAAUCUUUGAACGCAUGUCGUGAUAGGGAUAGAUCAUUGCAAUUAUUGAUCUUGAACGAGGAAUUCCUAGUAAACGCGAGUCAUCAGCUCGCAUUGAUUACGUCCCUGCCCUUUGUACACACCGCCCGUCGCUCCUACCGAUUGAGUGGUCCGGUGAGGCUUUGGGAUCUGAGCGGAAAGAGCGUUUCGCUGUUUCUGCCCGGAAAACUCAGUCGAACCUUAUCAUUUAGAGGAAGGAGGAGUCGUAACA